GACGAACGCUGGCGGCGUGCUUAACACAUGCAAGUCGAACGGAAAGGCCCUGCUUUUGUGGGGUGCUCGAGUGGCGAACGGGUGAGUAACACGUGAGUAACCUGCCCUUGACUUUGGGAUAACUUCAGGAAACUGGGGCUAAUACCGGAUAGGAGCUCCUGCUGCAUGGUGGGGGUUGGAAAGUUUCGGCGGUUGGGGAUGGACUCGCGGCUUAUCAGCUUGUUGGUGGGGUAGUGGCUUACCAAGGCUUUGACGGGUAGCCGGCCUGGGAGGGUGACCGGGCACCAUGGGAAUGGGGGACGGCCCAGACUCCUACGGGAGGCAGCAGUGGGGAAUAUUGCACAAUGGGCGGAAGCCUGAUGCAGCAACGCCGCGUGCGGGAUGACGGCCUUCGGGUUGUAAACCGCUUUCGCCUGUGACGAAGCGUGAGUGACGGUAAUGGGUAAAGAAGCACCGGCUAACUACGUG
rnacentral:rRNA from 1 species